UGGCCUUUUAUAGAGGAGAAAAUAUAUGAACCCAGCAGCCAUCCCAAAAAUUGUCUGCUGAAACAUCAUGUUUCCAGAUAAAAUAAUCAUUUAAUGACUUGCGUAAAUCAAAAUGGAAAGAGGAGAGAAUAUAUGGACAGAAAUAUUUUUACAUUAGCACAAGAAGCUGCAUGGCAGAUUUAGAAAGAAGAGUGAUUUCUCAGCAAAAUACUAGUAUGGGCAACAAGGUGAGAAUAAAAGCUUCAAAAAACUGGCAACUGCUUUUGAAAACUGCUAUGAGAUAUGCAAUAAGAUUC
rnacentral:lncRNA from 1 species